UGGUUUUCCGCGCGUACGCGUGUCCCGGUGUCCAACAUCGACAUUUCAUUUAUUAUAUUUUAUUAACGCAGCGUCCGAUUUACGUAUACGAAGAUAUCGCAUCGCGUUUAAUAAAACAUACCUUUAUACCGAUAUAUCGCGCAUGUCUUGCCAUGCUAUAUUGUCCGCGUACCAUCCAAAUAAAAUAAUAUUUUAAUCAUAUUUAUCCGUACGAUUGCCGUUAUGUCAUAAUAAUACGAUGAAGUUUUGAUGGAGCUAGGACGUCGGUGGCGGCAGCCCUACAAAUAUAAUAGUCAUCCGUCGCGGUUUACAAACAACCGUUUCGGUUCGACAUAUCGGUUUCAACAAUAAUAAUAAAAUACGCAAUUUCAACAAUUACGCGGACGCGAGACCCUAUAUACACUCUACGCCAGAAAACAAUACUCAUAUAAUAAGAUAUAUCUGUGUAUGAUAUUACCUAACAUUAAGACACCGCAGCUUCCACCGUGUUCAUAAUCCUCUCGGCUACUGGACCACAACGAAACGUAUUUAAGGACCCGCCUCCCACAGUACUGAGCAGCAGUAGUAUUAUAAUAUUGACAUUAUAAAUGUGGCGCCAAUCAAACAUCAGUUGAUCGCAGCUAUAGUAGUACUGGUACUGUUCAUACUGAAGAUAGUUAAUAAAUAUUUCGCAUUUCUAAAUGGAUGGAGCUCAGAGAAAUUUCAGUAUGAUGGCCGAGAAAAUCGAUAGAAUGCGAUGUUUAAGGGAACGAUGCGACAAUUAUGUCAGACUAAUAAAACUAACACUUGAUGAAACAAUCAAAGAACAAAAUUCGCUUUUGGAUGGAUCAGCAAUUCAUAAUAGACUAAAAUACUUAGGCGUAUUAGAUAAACCUAAAUCAUUAUCAAACACAUUCAAUACUGAUAAAUAUCAUAAGAAUAUAGAUUAUAAUCAAUUUACAAGACUAAUAAGAUUAGUUAUAUAUUACAAUAUUAGUGUUGCAUAGGGAUAUUGCACUAUGUUGAAAUGUUGGGAUUUACAUGAUGACAAGACACUGAAUGUCUGUAUAUUGAUGCAAAGUAUUAUACAUACAUAUUAUUAUACAUUUAUAGGUAUUUUUGUAGUAUGUGGUCUACCAUACACUUGUUGUCUACCACGGAUAUACUGAGUCAUUCCUAUCUAGUCGACACUGGCUACGAUAAUAAACUUAAUCUUAAUCAAAGUUUCUAUUAAAUAUGUUAAUUUCUUGCCAAAAAUUUAAAUAGAAUUAUUCAGUCAGAGGUAAAUACUUUUAUACGUUUUUAAAGAAAAAUUGACUUAUUCAAAUUGAUACUCAUAUUUCUUAGCAGAAUGAUGGUGGAACAAUUAUAAAGACAACUCAUUUGAAUGUUUUAUAUGAGACAUCAAAUCAUAAUAAAUAUUUUAUAGUAAAUAUUUGUAUAGAUAUUUAUAAUAUACUAUAUACCUAUACGUAUUGCUUUUUUAAUUUAAUAUAAAAAACAUAUGGAAUAGCAUAUACGACAAGAAUACCCAUUUAUACAUGAUUUAAUUACUAUAUUAGUUAUCCAAUGAAGGAUAUUUCUGGGUAUAUUAUCCCAUAUGGAUAUAUUCUUUUCCGUAAUUGAAGAUCUAGACUAUUGCAAAUAGAUUAUUCAAUUAUUCAAUUAUUGGUAUACUAAAAAUAGUUGACACUGUUCUUAACAUAAUAUGAAAAUGACGUCGGAGGCAGUUGCCCCCUUUGCCACCCGUUAGACACGGCAUUGAUCGUUUAUAUUAUUAUAUUAUAUAAUAAUUAAUAAUAUAUAAUCAAUAGAGAACGGAUUUUAAUUUAAAUAAAUAUUUUUUAUAUCAUUUUAAUAUCGGAGAGUUUUUAACAUAUUAUGUGUACCUACGUUUCAUUUAAUUUUGAAUAAGCUGAUGCUAAUUUUAUUUUAAAUAUAUUCAAAUAUUUUAGAAUAAUUAAAUAUUUUAUAAAUAAAUAUACGUAAUCUGUAUUAUUGUAGAAUUUCCUAAAGAAAUUGGAGUUUUAACCAAUUCUAAAUUACAAAACCUAUUGUAAAAAAAAACCCCAGGAUUUAACGCCGCAAUGUCGAUAAGGGAUAUACUAUUAAGUAAAACUCCAAAAAACAAUUUAGAAAUAUAAUACAAUCUAAAAGAAUUCACGUGUAUGGGUGUAUCGUGUAUGAAAUAUGCACCUAUCACUUCUGUUGAUGUGGAGAGUUUAUUUAGCAUUUUAGCCAUUAUGAAGCAAUAUUAAGAUUUUUAAAUUUGAAAAUCUCAAAUUAUAUAUUUAUAUGUUGGUUCUAAAGGUACACGGUUUCCAUACAGCGUCCAUACGCGGCGUCUAGCGUCAACUACUGGUCUGGACAUCCGACAUAGUAAGCGUCUGGACGCGGCGUCAUGACGUUGUGCUGUUCCACUCUUUGACGCUGCAGGGAAACCGUAUAUUAAUAUAAUCUUAUAACUAUUAGGUAUUAAACAAUUUUUUUUAAAUAGUACCUAAGUAGGUUUAUAUUACCUAUCUAGUUGUUAUUUUUUUUUUAAUUAUAUAUUCAGAUGAAAAUUAAUUAGAUACGACUUAAUAAGUUGAUUUAUCACCUACUGCGUUUAGGUUGUUUCAACUCCAACAGCUUCAACUCCUGGUAAUUCCUUUGAUAACUAAAGAAUUUGUAGAACUAUCGUUAAUUAUAUUAUGAUAACUGUUAAGUAUGUAUCAAAUAUAAAAUAAUAUUGAAAUUAAAUCAUAAUAAUAGGUUUAUUUUUAUUUUUUAGCAUGACUAUUGACUACCUAGUUAUUCAAACAAUUUUUGAAUAUAAAAGUGCUGGAAAAACAAUAUAGUAUAUAGAUAACUUUAUUAGAAAUAUAUGUGUAUAAAAGAUUAAAAUAUAAUAACGUAUUUUAUAUGUUCAAAUGUUCUGCAGUGGAUAUUAUUAUGUCUCACAAGUCACAAUUAGUAAUUAUUGUCAAUUACAUAAUUACAGAUACUUACUAUAGCUAUGCGUUAUUUAUUGGUGGCUUUAUUGA